rnacentral:lncRNA from 1 species
GGCGGCGGUGGGGCUUCGCCGGUUGAUGAUUGUUGUUGCUGGCAGGAGCUAUGGCAGUGACCUUAGAGAGAGAGGAGAGAAAGGAGAAAGGCGGCUGGUUUGAUAAAGAUGAUUAGCAUCUUUCUACCUUUUUAGAAAAAGUAUUUUUGUAGAGGAAGCAAAUAAUAGAGUGGCCCCCACUUUCACCAAAAUAAUACAUAUAUAUACAUAUAUAUAUAUCUACUAAAAUUUCU